UUGAUCCUGGCUCAGAAUCAACGCUGGCGGCGUGCCUAACACAUGCAAGUCGAACGCGAAAGCCCCUUCGGGGGUAAGUAGAGUGGCGUCCGGGUGAGUUACACGUAGGUAAUCUACCUUCGGGUGGGGAAUAACACCUCGAAAGAGGUUCUAAUACCGCAUAAUGCAGCGGCACCUAAUGGUGAUUAGUUGUUAAAGCUGGGGACCCGCAAGGGCCUCGCGCCUGAAGAGGAGCCUGCGGCAGAUUAGUUAGUUGGUGAGGUAAUGGCUCACCAAGGCUUCGAUCUGUAGCUGGUCUGUGAGGGCGGCCAGCCACACUGGCACUGACACACGGGCCAGACUCCUACGGUAGGCAGCAGUGGGGAAUUUUGGGCAAUGGGCGAAAGCCUGACCCAGCAAUGCCGCGUGAGGGAGGAAAUCCUUCGGGAUGUAAACCUCACAAGCAAGGGUAGAGAGCUGCGGGGCGAAUAAUCCCGCAGUCCGACGGUACCUUGCGUAAUCCACGGCUAACUACGUGCCAGCAGCCGCGGUAU
rnacentral:rRNA from 1 species